rnacentral:lncRNA from 1 species
AAGACUAUGAAGGAAGACAUGAGUCCGGAUAUGAUUCAGAGAGCUUGGAAUGCAGGGUGUGGCAUUUCUAUUUAUAAUUAUUACAAUCUCUGGUUUUCUUCCCGGCAUCAGAGAGAUCUAGGUAGGGAUGAAGAGAGAAAAUAUUAAGUUCAAUGUCAGCAUGUGAAGUUGUUUUCAAGUCCACUGAACAGAUCUCAUAGUAAUAGAUCUCAUAACAAUUUCUUUAGUGGGAUGGUGUGCUCCGAGCUGAACUCAGUCCCUCCCCGUGCCAGAGAAUACCCACCCUUUCUGAACCAGCAGAGAGUGGGGUCUUUCUUCUUAUCCUUGGUGAAGUCUGAACCGGAAUAGAUUCUUUGCCUCUUCUCAAAGAGCUAGGGUGCUGGAAAACCUGACCCUGCUUGGCUGCGGGAAAAUAAAAUGUGGUGUAUUUUCUCGUGUAACCUGGGAGGCUAAAGGUAAGGCUGCUGGAGUCCAUCUUGGGGCAGGCGCUUAGCUGAUGUUGCCAGAACCCUACACUGCAUAAUCUUUAAGCUCUUACAGGAAAAGGAAAAGUGUGUGAGACAUGCAUAAUACAUUGAGAAAUAAAAUUUAUGUGUUCUAUUUACUCAGCAACAAAGAAAACAUGAUCAUUUUACUUCAAGAAAGAAAACACAAACAAAGAAAACUCUAAGCACCCUUUGGAAGAGACCCAGUAACACCACAGUCAACCCCUGCGUUCUCUUUACCUGUGCUCAUGACUCCUCCUCCUGAACUAAAAGGCACACUCAGACACGACCUGUUGCCCAUUUACUGGUCCCUGGGACUGUCUCCAAGUUUCCAUCUUGGCUUGGCUCCAAGACACUUCAAGGCAGGACAUCUGCUGGUUUUUAAAUGCGGUCACUGCAGAGGCUUUGGGAGGCAAAACUACAGCCCUCAUUCUACCCUGGACUUUCCCCGUUGUGCUGACUUCCCCCAGGGACGACUGUGAACACCUGCAGCCGCAGAGCGCACCUGCUCUUUCAUCCCUCCCUCCCUUCAAUAGCCAUCAAUGGAACAAAAGGAUGAGCAAAGGAGCAAGCUGUCUCAUCAGGCUGGAGAUACCAGCACCAACCAUCUCCCCCUCCCUACACAUCUGUAGGAAGCCACGCCACAGAGCCGAGGCCAGUCUCCUGAGGUUAGAGCCACCCUCCUCCAACCAAAAAGGUAGGGUUGUGCUUCCAGGUAAUGGCCAGGGAGGUGCCUCAACAGGCAGGAGCAAACUCUCCUGUCUGGAGAGAAAUGGUUUGAGGAUGCUGCUAUUAAUGUAGCAUAGAGGAAGCAGUCUUAUCUGGAUAGUUAGUGAUUUCAGCUUCAGGUAGGAGAGGAGGAAGGGAACAAAAAGAAAAGACUUAAACAUGAUCAGAAGAAUUUCUUGUUGAAAUGACUCUAGGUGAAGAAGGCACAAUCUCCUCCAGCAAAGUAGUAAUAUCAUCACCAUCAUCGUCAUCAUCAUUAUCAUUGUCAUUCCAGUUUGAGAUUGCUCAGCUAAAGGGUCAAUGUGAUGGGCUGAGCAUCUGUAGAUGCUUUGUAAAGAUAAUCAUUAAAAAUUCAUUUCAAAGAUCAUAUCACAAUAGAAAAUUAGCUUAUUAUGCUGUGUUAAGGGAGCCAGCAGUUACACCAUGAUACUUAAUGAGUUGAUCAAAUCAGAUCUGAAAACCAGGGAUCAGCUCCCUGUGGUUGUUAAUCCAUGCCUCUGUCUGCAUAUCACCUUUAUUCAUA